GGAAUGACUAUACUGAAACCACAAAAGAAUUACACAGCAGCAUUUUGCAAAUUUGAGUGAAAACAGGCUCUCAAGACACAAACUUCUCUUAUCAGGAAGUGUGUGAAAUUACAGUUACACAAAAACUUUUUACUAUCACACAAGUCAAGUGCUCUAAUUAGCUGAAUGCUCAUGUAACAAGUGAGAAAGAAAGAUGCACAGCUGUUAUCUUGUAGUCAAGGAAGUCAAGGAAGAUAACUCCAGGCAGCACCUUUUCCUUUAUGGCAAAUGAUCAAUUCAUCAUAUACUUAUGAACAACACAUUUUUAAAAUUAUCUCUAAUCCACAUUCCAGACCUCCCUGAGCAUUUUUGCCUGUACUCCUCUCUUAUCUCCCCUCCACCUCCUAUUUGUAAUAGAGACCAUACCCUUGGAGAACUUUCAAAUGUCAACAACAGUAGUUGCUGCCACCCCCUUAUUAGCUGCUGAUGGGAUUGGAAAAAAAUCAUGCACCUCUCUACCAGGCUAAAUAGAGCCUAUCUAAACCCAAAAGACGGGUUUUACUUCUGAAGCAUGACUUAACCAACCAUCCUUCUCUUCUAGCUCUACCAACCAUUUCUGUCUCUGGCAGCAUGUCUUCUCUCACACACAAAUAGUUUUAUUUGUUUUUAGUCAGCCACACCAUUAUGAAAUCUGGCAUGCUGUCAUUGAAAGGCAAUACAGCUCAAGUCAAUACCCAAACAUGAACUAAAGCAAGCUGCGAUCACAUCUAGUAAUGUAACCAAACUGUUCACAGCACCAGUUUAAUAUCAGACAGUAAUUGUGUUUAAUGUCUUACAGGACACUGCUAAGUGGAGGGAGAAACACCAGUAACAGCCAGGAGGAACAUGCUGUGCACUCACCUCUCCUUUGCCUCAUGCAGCUCAGCAGUGAUUCAUUAUGUCUUUUGGCACAUGGUGCCUGAAGACAAUGGUGUAAUUUUUGUCACAGAAUCAAGAGGCAAUAGUAUGUCUUUUUAUGUGAACAAGAAAAGAAGUGAUAUUACAGAGAUGAGAGCAAAUUCCAGGUGGCAGUGAACAACAAACUCUGAUAUUCAGGGUGUCUCUUCUAUGUGUGGUAUGCAUUUCAGUAAAAAAGUCCACCCACCAAAUGCUGCUAUACAAAGGCCCCAGCUAGUUUUGACUGGAUACCUCUGAAAGGCAAAUCAAAACGAAAAGGUAAGAAAAUGUAAGAAAAAGAGCCUGACAAAUGAGUAUUUAUGAUCAAGAAGUUUCCCUGCAAAAUGACAGUACUCCAUGAGGUUUACAGUGACAAUUUAAUUCUACCACCUGUUCAAAUGUAUUCACACUUGUUAUCCUGUCUGACUCCUACAGUCUGUUACUAUUCGUCCUCCUUGGAAAAGGUGACGAUUUAAAUCUUGAGCUUUGUCGCUUCAAAUUAACAGUGUAAAUUCACAUAUGCUUGCUGUAAUUUCUACUCUUAUUUUACUUCAUAUGCCCUUCAGCCACAGCUGGGCAAUCAUUUACUACUUACUACAUAUCACUUGUGUGUUUUCCUGUGCCAAGAGAAAAAAGAAUCUGCAACAAAUUGCCUUUAUUAGUAACUUCCCUCAGGGAAUAGUCCCUUUGUACUUAAAAUGACUGUCACAAAUCUUAUUCAUAGCAUGCAGUCUUUGUAUAAACUUUAAUUUCUGCUACUGCAAAAGCUUCCUUAGAUGGAAAAGAAGUUGCAGGUGAUAAUAACUUUGCUCUAGGAAGCACAGUCCUUUUAGCAGCUGGCAACACAGCCCACAUACUUCAGCUUUUACCAAGACCAUAAAAAGAGAUAAGAUAAAUAGCACAUUACAUAAUGACACAACUGUCACCCAUUAUGUCCUUGUCUCUAAGCUGGAGAGGCAUAGAUUUGAUGGAUGGAUAACUCAGAGGAUAAGGAAUUGGUCAUACUCUAAGAGUUGUGGUCAAUGGAAGAAAGAAAUUCUUCACUCUAAGGAUGGUGAGGUGCUGGAAUGUGUGGUUUAGAGAAGUUGUGGAUGCCCCAUCUCUAGAAGUAUUCAGUACCAGGCUGGAUGGUGCUUUGAGCAACCUAGGGUAGGGGAAGGUGUCCCUGUCCAUGGAACUGAAGUUGGAAAUAAAUCAUGUUUGAGCCCCUUCCAACAAAACCAUUCUAUGACUCCAUUCUAUGACUAUGAUUUAUAAAAUUCCCAAACAACUUCAUUUCCUUGCUACUACCAUUUAUAAUUCAAAUUAAGUAUCUUUUUUAUAUGUAACUAUGGUCAUGAGGACUACUAACACAAAAUCCAUAAAGAGUGCUAAAGAAUUAAAAAAAAGACACCCACAUUAAGAAACCCACAUUCAACCUAAAUAAAAGCAACGCCAGCUAAGUUUUGCUUUCAGGCUUCUUGUUCAUCUAGGAAGAAAACCCCAUUACAGCACACUUGAAUACAACAGAAACAAUUAAUUUAGUAGUAUAUUAAUAUUUCAGAACCAUUUAUAAAUUUUUCUUUUUUAUUCACCCAAGCCCUUUCAAAUUCUUUUGGUCUUAAAGAAGCCAUUAUCAAUAAUAGAACAAAAGCUCAUUCAGCAUUUUAAAGCUCAUUCAAAAAAUGACAUAUAAGGUUGCUAAUUUGUACCAGGACUCUGAUUUCUUGGGUGACCCACCAUGAAAAAAACUGAACACUGGGCAAACAUCUAGAAGACAAUCCAGCUCAGCAUUUACCCUACCCUUCCAAAAGCAGAACAACAGGAGAAAUAAAAUAGCGAAUAUUUUUUCUAGCAGUAUACAAAGUGGUUCCACCAGUAAACCCUGCUUUUACAAUGUCAGCAAAUUUGUAACUUUUUUUCUAAUGUAAACUGAACACUGUGAAAGACUAAGUCUUCAACUUAUAAAAUAGAGAGAACAAAGGAGGCGUUCUAAAAUGCUUAAUUUUUAGUCUGUCAUACAUGUGCCUCAAAGCUAGACAGGAACAUUUGCAGACUUCACUUUGUAAUGAUAUUUGUAAGUAACACAAAUCAUGCAAAAGUACUUAAUUAGAAUUGAAUUGAUAAAAGUCACAAACUACUGAUCAUAACUUCUCUAGAAAAAUUAUCUGAAUGAUAUGGAUGUUGCUCUAGUCAAUUAAAAGCAGGUAUUUUAUACAAAUCACCUCGAAGAUAAAGAAUUAAAUUUUUUUUCACCACUAAAAAUAUUCACUAGUUAUAUACCCCUCCACACGCAAAAUUUCUUACUGAUUUGGGCACCCUUUAAGAAUCCCUUUCUGCCACAAUGAAACUAGCAUGCUUUAUAAUAAUUUGUAACUCAAAGGAAAACUGCAGGC